UACGGGGGGGGUAAGCGUUGUUCGGAAUUACUGGGCGUAAAGGGCUCGUAGGCGGCCAACUAAGUCGGACGUGAAAUCCCUCAGCUUAACUGGGGAACUGCGUCCGAUACUGGAUGGCUUGGAUUUGGGAGAGGGAUGCGGAAUUCCAGGUGUAGCGGUGAAAUGCUUAGAUAUGACAUAGAACACCAAUUGCGAAGGCAGCUGUCUACCCGAAUAUUGACACUGAGGCACGAAAGCGUGGGGAUCAAACAGG
rnacentral:rRNA from 1 species